UACGUAGGGAGCAAGCGUUGUCCGGAUUUAUUGGGCGUAAAGGGCUAGUAGGCGGUUCGGCAAGUCGGGUGUGAAACCUCCAGGCUCAACCUGGAGACGCCACCCGAUACUGCUGUGACUCGAGUCUGGUAGGGGAGCACGGAAUUCCUGGUGUAGCGGUGAAAUGCACAGAUAUCAGGAGGAACACCGAUGGCGAAGGCGGUGCUCUGGGCCAGUACUGACGCUGAAUAGCGAAAGCGUGGGUAGCGAACAGG
rnacentral:rRNA from 1 species